UUAAGUAACUUGCUCAAGGUCAUGCAGCUAGUAAGUGUCUGAGGCCAAAUUUGAACCUAGGAAGAUGAAUCUUCCUGACUCCUGGCUUGGCCACCAGUGUCACAUGCUUAGUAGCUAUUUGUUAUUUAGUUAUUUCAGUUGUAUUUGACUCUGUGACUUUUUUAAAAUGUUUUUUGUAAAGAUACUGUGUGGUUUGUCAUUUUCUUCUCUAGCUCAUUUUUACAGAGGAAGAAACUGAGGCAAAUAGGGUUAAGUGACUUGCCCAGUGUCUGAGGUUGGAUCUGAAUUAAGGUCUUCCUGAGCCCAGUCUCAGCGCUCCUUCCACUGUGCCACCUAGCUUCCCAUUAUCAACUAACUAGGUGUGCAUAAAAAAAAGCAGGGCUAGUUGUGCCAGCACAUCCUGGGCAAGUUGGUCUACUGGCUUUUCCCAUCGCAGAGGAAAUAUUUCCUGAUAGGAAAAGGAAAUGUCAAUGGGAAUGCCUCUCCCACCCCAGCUGGUUCAGGUUUUUCUAUGCCCCUUUAUGACUGACUGUGUGAUCAGAGGUCUGGCCCUUCUCCUCUUAAUACCAUUGGCAAGUCUUGAAGUCUUUAUGUGAUGGGUGAGUUGCUGAUCUCCAUCAGUGGAGCUAAUUUCAACAGUAAGAAUUCUCUUACAGUAAAAACAAACAAACAAGGAAAAAUCAUAGAUCUGGGCUGAAAAAAAAUAAGGUGCCAGGCACUGUCCUACAUUCUAAUUGAAGACCAUCAUUCUUUUCUUCUUCUUCUUCUUCUUCUUCUUCUUCUUCUUCUUCUUCUUCUUUCUUCUUCUUUCUUCUUCUUCUUCUUCUUCUACUACUACUACUAUUUCUUCUCCUUCUCCUUCUCCUUCUCCUUCUCCUUCUCCUUCUCCUUCUCCUUCUCCUUCUCCUUCUCCUUCUCCUUCUCCUUCUCCUUCUCCUUCUCCUUCUUCUUCUUCUUCUUCUUCUUCUUCUUCUUCUUCUUCUUCUUCUUCUUCUUCUUCUUCUUCUUCUUCUUCUUCUUCUUCUUCUUCUUCUUCUUCUUCUUCUUCUUCUUCUUCUUCUUUGGCUGACAACUAUCAAUACAGUUUCUACCAGGAAGAAUUCAAGUGUUUUGAUUCCUAUGGAUCAUUUUAUCUGGCAGAAAUGGAUGGACUGGCCAGACCCUACUUGUGGCCAAUGAUAUUCUGGCUUUUGCCAUUGACAUGGUCCUGGUGUCCCAAAGAACAUUCCAUAGUGCUUGGCCCCAAGGUAGGAUGGAACUGA
rnacentral:lncRNA from 1 species